UCUAAUAGCAAAGAUCUGUGAGUAUAGAAUUUGACUGCAGGCAUCUUAAGGACCUUACAAAGCCUUUUGCAUGUGGGCUCAUGGCCCUGGCAAAUCAGAAGCUGCCUGCGGGCGGGAUAACCCCCACUUGGACAGCUUGAUGAAGACAUCACUCAUCAGGCAUCAGCCCUCUCCAGGGCAAAACAAAAACGGUGCUCCCCACCUGCUCUGCAAGUGACACAGCCAGGCGUGAGCCGUGCCAUCCUUGUUGUCCCCGUUGCCACCCGGUUGCUCUGGUGGCAGAGCUGUGAGCCCUGCGACAGCUGCAGCGUGGGAGGUUGGCUCCAUCCAACCCAGCAUCUUCUGCAGCUCAGGCGGCAGAUCCGGGCAAUGCUUCUGAGCUGUGCAAACAACUGACAUAUGUGCGUGCUGUGCUUGCAAACAUCUCCAGAUGCCCUGGGAGCAGUGAGGGCCUGGAUGUGCUGGUGGGUCUCUGUGCUGUGUCCUGCCAUCACCCGGAGAGUGACCCGCUGGUCUGCCCCAGAUUCUUCCUAUGGGGCAUUUGUUGGUCCUUAGAAACAGUCAGAACUGCUGCAUGGACACUGUGCACUGUGAGUAUCACCUUCAUUCAUUGUCCCCAAGGAGUUAGAAUCAUAGACCCCUCACAGCUUUGUUGUCCUCCGGACAUGGCCCAGUGCCUC
rnacentral:lncRNA from 1 species